rnacentral:lncRNA from 10 species
GCCAGUUCCGGUGAAAUGAAAAUGUCAGUCAUCAGCAUAUAAAUGGCAUUUAAAGCCAUGGUCCUGGAUAAGAUCACCUUGGUAAGCCUGGGCACUCCAAUGUUGAGAAGUCAAGAGAUGAGGAGACACCAGGAGGAGGGACUGAGAAGCCAUCCCCAGGGAAGCAGGAAGAUAGCCAAGAAAGGAGUGGUCCCUAAGGCCAGGGAUAAAGGUGACUUCUGGAAAAGUAAGUGAUCAACUGUGUCAAACACAACUGAGAAGACAAGGACUGUGAUAUCUUAAAGCAAACCUGAUCAUGUCAUUCUUCCUCAGAAAACCUAUCAAUGCUUUCCCAAUUCACUGUGACUAAGAAUCCCUCCCCCAAGCACUCACACGUGCCCUCACACAUACAUACGGGGUAACCAUAAAAUCCUGCCUCAGCUCUAGCUUCAAAUGUAUCACUGCUCUUCCUGUUCUCUAAUACUGGACUUACUUCCAGUUAUCAGAUGGAUUCCAAUUGCCCACAGCAUGAACUCAAACUUCAAACUGUAUACAAAUUUCCUGCAUUUCUAACAAGUUCCCAGGUGAUGGUGAUGCCGCUAGUCUGCGGACUAUACUUUGAGUACCAAAGAUCUAAAACAUUCUUUCCCCUCCUCCUUCCUAUCUUCUAUCCAUCUUUCAGGUUUCAAUUUAGGUAUCAAUCCUCAAACCUCCCCAAAUAAUCAGGGACUCCUCUUACAUGUUUCCACAUAGCACUCUGCACAACUCUAUAUUAAUUGUCGCAUUCACAGUAAUUAAUUCACCCUUCUUUUCACUGGUCUCCAGGUUCCCUGAGGGCAGUGAUUAUGUCUCUCCUGUUUGCAGAUGCCUCUCUAGUGCCUACCUCUAUGCCUACCACAGAGUUAAGCAUAUCAUUUGAUUACUCGGAUCAAUAUUUAUUGACAUGGAAAGAUGUUUACACAUAAGUUUUUAAAAGUUAGGUUACAAAACAUUAUACAUAUAGUAUUAUUCUAGUUUUGUUCUAUAUGAUUUAUUUGCAAAAGGAAAAGUCUGGAAUCCCAUAUUUAAGAAUGUUAACAGUGUUAUCUAUAAAUGGCAAGAUUUUGAGUAAUUGUUUUUCAUUUUCGCAUUUUCUUGCAUGUUUUU